AUAUGCUUGUUCCAAAGAUUAAGCCAUGCAUGCUAAAGACAACUCGAAGAAUCUCUCGGAAAUCUGCGAACGGCUCCGUAUAUCUGUUAAAACCCGAUGCCACUCAGAAAGGUUGGUAAGCGGAUAUGGCACGGUAAUUCUGUCAGUAAUACGUGUACGUGCAUAGACCCGGCGUGUGUAAGGCCUUUCGGCUGCACCAUGACUCGGGGGCCUCUGGAUGCACACACCCGUGCUGAUUCGGCCAGAGAGACCUGAACUCCAUCAUAAGUCCGCGGCAACGGUUUUCAGACCUAUCAACUAUAGGCCCGUGUCGAGCACGGGUCUGGUUUUAACGGGUACAGAGGAUCAGGGUUCGGUCCUGGAGAGGUAGCCUGAGAGAUCGCUACUACUUCUAAGGAAGGCAGCAGGCGCGCAACGUUCCCAAUGGGGGGAUUAGUUCCCUGAGGACGUGACGGAACAUACCAAUGCCCCGCCCUUAGGGCUGGGGUAAUCGGAAUGGGGGGAUUUCAAACCCUACGACCGAGUAACAAUUAGAGGACAAGUCUGGUGCCAGCACCCGCGGUAAUUCCAGCUCUAAUAGCAUCUAAUUAAGUUGUUGCAGUUAAAACGCUCGUAGUCAGGAUCCGGAUCGAAGCGCGUGGCCGUCUGUAGACUACCGGGGCAGCGCAAGCUGAACACCUGGUCUCCGCAGAAACGCGCGCGCUCCUUCCGAUAAUUGCCCUCUUCCCGGCUACUUACGCCGUCUAAUAGGUCGAGGGUACUUUACCUUGAGUAAAUGCGAGAGCUCAAGUCAGGUCAUUUAUAGACCCGCGAGUGAAGCCUGUAGCAAGGAACAAUCAAAUAGGCCUCGGCUUAGCUUGGUACGCUACAGAGAUAUGGUCAAUAGGGGGGAUCGGGGUCGGCCACAUGGCAGGGGUAGGGGUGAAAUCCGAUGAUCCUUGCCAGGUGAACUAGAGCGAAAGCAGCCGACAAGUACCCUUUCUUUGAUCAAGAACGAAAGUCUGGGGAUCGAAGAUGAUCAGAUACCAUCGUAGUCCAGACCCUAAAUGCUGCCGACCAUGGAUGGAUCUAGGUCCAUCCCGACCCGACCCGCACCUUGUAGGAAACUAUAAGUGUCUGGGCUCCGGGGGGAGUAUGGUCGCAAGACUGAAACUUAAAGGAAUUGACGGAAGAGCACACAAGGAGUGGAGCCUGCGGCUUAAUUUGACUCAACACGGGAAAACUCACAUUGGCAAGAGAGAGGUAGGAUGCCCGGCACAGCUUGCUAGGCACGAUUCUCUCAGUGGUGGUGCAUGGUCGUUCUUAGUUCGUGGAGUGAUUUGUCUGGUCUAUUCCGCUAACGAGCAAGAUCCUGUCCUUUGGACGUUGCCGCUCUUAUGCGUUUGCUCGUGGUGCUAGGAUCCCGGGCUGGGCCUAACGGCUAGGCUUUAGGGUGAGUGGCGCCACUGCAGACAGCCGUGGCUUUGGGGGGGCUCCGUGGCGCAAGCCGCGUCCCUUUUGAGGCUGCGAUUAUACCAGCUAGAUCUUGAUCUCGUGGCCCCGCAGGGUGCACCUGGUCUCAACCAGGUCUAACAGGUCAAUAACAGGUCAGUGAUGCCCUUAGAUGCCUUUGGCUGCACGCGCGCUACAAUGGGGAGAGCACCGGGUUUACGGGCGCCUAACGGACGCCGCCUUAACGGGCAUUGUGAAUCCUGCUAAUACUCCUCUUAACUGGGACUGCACCGAGUAUCUCGGUACGCGCGAACGUGGAAUUUCUAGUACCCGCCGUUCAGCAGACGGUGUGGAUUC
rnacentral:rRNA from 1 species